rnacentral:lncRNA from 1 species
GGAAAUCUGGCAGGUUUCUUCGCACUGUUUGCUCCACUGGCGUGAUAUUUCUGGCAUUGCAAUGUGGGAUGCAGAUCACCUUCGCAUAUGUUCCCAAGGAUGAGACUGGACCAUGGGAUGAUGUUUUCUUUCACCUUGGCAUUGUCAGGUUCAGUGAAGUGGACACACUAAACAUAAUCCGCCUGUUAACUCCAGAUGUGGUGGUGUCCGUGUCAACACUGUUCAUCAUCCGCUGGUGUAAAGCCAGAAAGCCCCAUCAGAGUGAAGACGGCAGAGCGAUGUACAGCACUGAGGGCUCGGAUGAAGAGAUGUCGGACUCAGAAUGUGAAGCGGAGAGCAGAGGAUCUGAGGACUCGUCUUUCGACACCUCCGCCGAGACCCGUAUUUCUCCAGACGCAUCUCCAGACGUCCUGCAGAAACUGAUCCUGUUCGUGAGCGGUCUGAGACUCCUGGUGUCGUCUCUAAUGAACAGUGCUGGAAGAGUCCUGGUCACCUUUCUGCUGGGACUGGCGGGUAAUGCAAGCACACAGCUGAAGACUACAUCAUCCACCAUCCUGUGAAAUUAUUAUUUAUAUGCUGUUU